rnacentral:rRNA from 1 species
UACGUAGGGAGCGAGCGUUGUCCGGAAUUACUGGGUGUAAAGGGAGCGUAGGCGGGAUCGCAAGUCAGAUGUGAAAACUAUGGGCUUAACCCAUAAACUGCAUUUGAAACUGUGGUUCUUGAGUGAAGUAGAGGUAAGCGGAAUUCCUAGUGUAGCGGUGAAAUGCGUAGAUAUUAGGAGGAACACCAGUGGCGAAGGCGGCUUACUGGGCUUUAACUGACGCUGAGGCUCGAAAGCGUGGGGAGCAAACAGG